UACGUAGGGUGCAGGCGUUAAUCGGAAUUACUGGGCGUAAAGCGUGCGCAGGCGGUUUCUUAAGUCAGAUGUGAAAGCCCCGGGCUUAACCUGGGAACUGCGUUUGAAACUGGGAGACUUGAGUGUGGCAGAGGGGGGUGGAAUUCCACGUGUAGCAGUGAAAUGCGUAGAUAUGUGGAGGAACACCGAUGGCGAAGGCAGCCCCCUGGGUUAACACUGACGCUCAUGCACGAAAGCGUGGGGAGCAAAAGGG
rnacentral:rRNA from 1 species